GUCCACAAUGGGACUCGAACGAUGCUCGCCAUGCACCACGAUACGCUACGGACACACAAACCGGCCAUGUGGCCUACAUUGGAGCGAAGCCCGGGGCCUGGAGGAGACAGCCGACCUCCGGGCGCGAGACCCGAUCACAAGCGAGCAACGAAUACAGCCCUGCUAUCCCCCCCUCUGGACCGGCAGGGGAUAUCCCGGUCCUCGCAGGGGACGAUUACCCCCA